rnacentral:rRNA from 1 species
AUUGAACGCUGGCGGUAUGCUUAACACAUGCAAGUCGAACGGCAGCACAGUAUGUAGCAAUACAUAUGGGUGGCGAGUGGCGGACGGGUGAGUAACGCGGAGGAAUCUACCCUAAAGCGGGGGACAACCCGAGGAAACUCGGGCUAAUACCGCAUAAUCUCGAAAGAGUAAAGCGGGGGCAACCUGGCACUUCAGGAGGAGCUUGCGUCCGAUUAGCUAGUUGGUGAGGUAAAGGCUGACCAAGGCGAUGAUCGGUAGCUGGUCUGAGAGGAUGAUCAGCCACACUGGGACUGAGACACGGCCCAGACUCCUACGGGAGGCAGCAGUGGGGAAUAUUGGACAAUGGGGGCAACCCUGAUCCAGCAAUACCGCGUGUGUGAAGAAGGCCUUAGGGUUGUAAAGCACUUUAGUUGGGGAAGAAGGAUAGUUGUUUAAGAGAUGAUUAUUUUGACGGUACCCAAAGAAUAAGCACCGGCUAACUCUGUGCCAGCCGCCGCGGUAA